GGCCAGGGCCGUAAAGUGGGGGGACCAAUGGCCACCUUCUCCAUUUCCUGCCCCACUGCUUCCAGCGCCCUUGCUCAGACCACACCCAUCUUUGAACACCUUAAAAAGAGCACACCACUCCACUCUUCGGCCUGAGGGUGCCAUUGUCCAAGAUGUCAAAGUUCUGUCCCGGCGAAAGCGUAAAGUCAAACCUCUGGAUCAGCUUGGCCAUUACCAAUUUCGCUUCCAUCUG